AAUUGCUUAUCCUUACACUAUUUAUUUAUUUAUUUAUUUAUUUAUUUAUUUAUUUAUAUUAUUAUUUUUUUGGAGUCAACACUUUCAUACUGUUUAUUAUUUUUUUUAUUGGUGUUCAAUUUGCCAACAUAUAGAAUAACACCCAGUGCUCAUCCCAGCAAGUGCCCCCCUCAGUGCGUCACAAUUUACUUAAAGAGAAGCUUUUAUAGUUUCACAAACGCAAAGAACUUGGAACCUGACUUAGAGAUAGUGAAGUCAGUCUGUCUGAUUGAAAGAUUUUUAAUAACGCUGUGUGCAGGGUCAUUCCCGAUUUGGCCAUUUGUACCGUUACUUGCUUUCCACGCUAUUCUCUUGCCACACAACCCUCUGUGCUCUUUCUACCAGGUUGACUUACUUACCUGGUGCUGAUAUGAUGGCUCGAUCCUCCCCAUUGCUAACUUAGCCCUUCAUGGCUCCUUCUCUCUUGGGGGACUGUGUCUGCCCACCUUUAGGACCUGCCCAUUCCCGCCAUCCAGCUGCACAGAGCUAAGGGAGGAUCCCUGUCCUAUACUUGCUCUUUUAAUGAGAGACACACAAGAACUAAAUUUACUGUACAACAGAAAGUCCAGCCAUUGCAGAUUUCUAACAAGAAUAUCAUCAACAACAGCAUUUGAUCGCUUUGAAAAAAUCAGAGAGUUUCCAUCUAUUUUGAGUGAAAAUUAUAUCACAGAAUGCUCAAUGACAGGCCAUCACUCAAGGAAGCAGAAGCAUUGUGAAGAUGUGGAACGGCAACAAAAUACGGAAAAAUACUCAUUCUGAGAGAAAAUUCUGAGAUUGAGAUUAUAAAUUGGACAGCAACUAUAAUUUUACUAAAAAGUAUUAAAGCAUAGCACUCUAUACUGAAUUAAUUGAAAAAGGGCAAUAUGAUCCAUUUUAGAAAUGGGAUAGCCUAAAUUAAGCUAAAGUCAUAGAGAAAGAAUGAAU
rnacentral:lncRNA from 1 species